AGAUUGAAAAGCUUUGGAGCAAGGUCUAUCAGAGCAGAGCCAAAAAGGCGUAAGCUUUCCAUCGCCCAGCGAAACAGUGGUGGAUGCACGAAACAAGCUCAAAUCACCCGCAGAGCAGGCCAGUGGGAAGCAAGUCCAUGGUCGGGAUGGGUUCUUCCAGGCAGUCCAAGGUCAUCAUGGGUUCUCAUCCUGCUCUUUUGGCAUUUAUGACUGGUUGUUGCUCUACCCAAGGUUUCAUCCAAACCAUUGAACUUGACAGUAAAACUCUAUCCAAAAUUCUGAACAAGUAAUUCUCAUGCUCUUCCUUAGGUAAAACCGUGGUUUCUUGAUUCUUAGAUAGGGCUUGGUUAGCAGCACAGCUAUUUACAAAAUCUACAAUGCAUGACCGAAGCAAGGUGUUCUUUUGCUUUGCUAUUGGUCAAUAGUAAGUAGAUAGACCAUGGAUGCAUCUUCUCAAUGCAGUUCUCAAAAAGAAAUAACUUCAUGUGUUUCGGAAGUCAUGGUUACUCCCCUUGGCGAUGUCAGCCUUUUCUUAUUGCAAACCUUGCUGGUUCAGUCAUAUGGCCAUCACCAUUGGAAUCGGUGAAUAUUUUAGUUGCAGUAAAUGAUCUUGCCUUAUCCACCUGCAUUUGGAGCUCUUUUAUUAUUUUAUGUUCGCUUAUCCAAAAUUUGAACAAGUGAUAUUUCAGUUGCAGUAAAUGAUCCUUUGAUUGUUUGUUUAGGUGUAUAAGAGUGUUGAUGAUGUGGCUUAGAGGAGGCCUCGACUUGCACCAAAUAUAUGCUCAUAUGCAACUACAGCCUAUGCAGGCGAAUCAUGCGCUUGUGCCGAGCUGAUCCAAGGUGGUGCAUCUGCAUCAGAGGACUGUUUUUGUUCGAUUUGUGGAACCUAGCUUGCGAUGUAGAAAAAAAAAAGGAUGGCUACAUCUGCUACAUAUCCUCCUGUGUUUUAACUUGAGCCUCUUGUGGUUUCAGCAUGAAAAGCAGGUGAAUGAGAAGCUGCACAACCCGCACACUGUAAGUUGCUCCUUCAUGCCUAUGCAGAACAAGUUACUGUGAAAGAGAAGUGUAUGCACGUUCUUUGUACAAAGCUCAGUUGUACCUUAAUCUGGGAAGUAGGAUGACCCCGACUAUACCAAGUUUGACCAAAUUUGUUGGUGAAUUAGUUUGUUUUGCCCUGAUUUUUGCGUGGUGGCAGUAUAUCUGAGCCUGGAAUGCAUAUAUCCAGUGCAGAGAAGAUCAGUUUGCUGUAUGAAAUUUUCUAAGCAUUUCAUUUUCUUUAUUCUUAGUUUUUAUAUGAUGUCGUGCAGCAGAAAACUGGUUAUGAAUUUGUUAAAAAGUAUGAAUUUUUCAUCUAAAAUUCUUGGCAGCUACCCUUCAUGAUUAUUUUUCUUCAUGCAGUAAACGCCUAGGUGAAGCAUCAAAAUUCAAUAUAACUAGUUCUGGACAUGGACAAGGGCUUCAUUUGAUCUUUUGUUGCUCUCAAGCCAUAUUUUCCCUGUGUGUCUCUUUGUGCAGGUACUUGAAAAAAAUAAAAAUACACAACUUGUCCAAAUGUUCCUCUAUCACCAUAGCCUAAAUUAAUAUGUCCAAAUGUUCCUCUAUCACCAUAGCCUAAAUUAAUAUAUAGGAAUUUAAUUUAAUCUUUUAUUCCUGUUGGGUUCACAUGUAAUGUAUUCAGCUAUAAUACACCAGUGAAUUAGACAUAUCAUCUUUUAUGCUGAAUCAGCACCACUGCAUUAUGUAGCUAUGUUCACCACAGGUUAUGAGUUUGUUUUUUGUAUUACUUUAACAGCAUGUUAAUUUUUCACAAAUCUCCUGCUUCAGCUAUAGAUUUCUUUGUACAACAUGCGCAAAUUAUUGAUCUUAUUCCGAAGUCUUAUUCUGCGGUGUUUAACUGCAGGCUGAGUUCAAUUUGUUUUUGUGCCAGAAACGGAACAGGUAGUGCUCUAACCUCAGCAGCAUAUGGUCUAAAUUUCAUACUUAGGGUCAUUCAAAUAUCUGGAAUAUUAGUCCUGAGUCAAGGUAAUUUUCCUCAUCCCUUUAAUGUAUCAUGGAAAUUUACGUCCACCUUUGUGCUUGCUUGUUAAAAAUUGCUCAUUUGGUUCUUUGUUCAGAUUUACGAUUAUUACGAUUUACUACUUCACCAUAGAUUUACAACAACAAUAUUUGUUUUGUUCUAGAUCAACUGUUACGGGAAUACAUUAUUCCCGAAGUUCUUUUAGAUGUAUUGGUCAUGGCACUGUUUUUUUUUCUGCUUUUGUAGUUGAAGGGUUAGUUACACUCUGAUUUUGUAGCAUUUGUUCCAUGUGAGAGAGAUUGUAUAUUGUUGUCAUCCUGAAACAAUGCUGGAGCUCUAAAGAAAAAGCUAGCAGAGUACUCCAUGGUUAUAGGUUGUACAAAUAGUAUGGUAAUGUUGCAUUCACUGUAGGAUGACCAAGAUGCACCAAAUUUGAGAAACUCGUGAGGUGAAUUAAUUGGUGCUUAACCUAAUUUCACUUGGCCGCCCAGCAACUUCCUUUUUGUGUAAAUGGUGCAUCUGUAUAUGAAAUGGUUAUGUAUUUUGAUUUUUGUCAUCUAAUUUUUUAGAAGAGUUGUGAUAGAUUCUAAGCAGUUGCAGUUCAUGAUUUUCCUCUUUAAUAUCCAUGUCAUUCAGUCAAGAUAGUGCGCAAAGUUUCUGGUUGUUUUUAUUUCUCCAGGCAGUGAAAACAUGUUGAUUUCUUGACCACAUCAAGUGAUACAUGCUAUGUUAAGUGUUUAAAUAUUUUUUGCUCAUUUUUUCCGCAGACCAGCACAAUGGAAUGAACUUUACAACAUUUAGUUAGCAUAUUAUAUAUUUUCCGAGGGAAAAUGGCAGGCGCUCUGCCUUUGUUAUAGAUUAUGAAUGUACAAGAGGAGAACACAAUGGAGAAAGAGAGGGAGGAAGCAAAGGAAAACGAAGAAGCAGUCACCCCAGGCGCUGCCUGUACAUGGAUGUUCAGCUAAGGUUCUACUACAUUCAGCCAGAUGAGCUGCAGAUCAUUGACAACACCACCACCAACAGAGACUGGGCAUGAGGCCGUGUUUGUGAAGAUACCUCUGUUCCUUUCGUUCCAGAUGUGCCAAGCAAAAUAUGCCCCUGUAACAGCCGUGUUCUUUGGCCCUCCAGCAAGGUGCGGCCACCACUUGCCAAUGGAGUUGAAGGAUGUGAUGUUUACUUGUUGGAUAGCUGGAUUUGAAGCGCCAAGUUUGAACCACAUUUCAGCGAUGAAAGGGCAUUGACAAAAGAGGGUGAGCUGCAGAUUCGAUAAUCUGAUCGCAUAGGGCGCAUUUGUCGUCAUGUUGGCUGCCCCGGUCCACGAUUCAAAGAUCCACGAAGGAAUCGAUCUCGUCAGAAGAGUUGAUACGCUGAAGGCCCUUCAUCCAUCUGUCAUCCGAGAGGGCAGCUGCAACCGUCAGGCUCUUCCUUCUUCGUCAGAUUGAAAAGCUUUGGAGCAAGGUCUAUCAGAGCAGAGCCAAAAAGGCGUAAGCUUUCCAUCGCCCAGCGAAACAGUGGUGGAUGCACGAAACAAGCUCAAAUCACCCGCAGAGCAGGCCAGUGGGAAGCAAGUCCAUGGUCGGGAUGGGUUCUUCCAGGCAGUCCAAGGUCAUCAUGGGUUCUCAUCCUGCUCUUUUGGCAUUUAUGACUGGUUGUUGCUCUACCCAAGGUUUCAUCCAAACCAUUGAACUUGACAGUAAAACUCUAUCCAAAAUUCUGAACAAGUAAUUCUCAUGCUCUUCCUUAGGUAAAACCGUGGUUUCUUGAUUCUUAGAUAGGGCUUGGUUAGCAGCACAGCUAUUUACAAAAUCUACAAUGCAUGACCGAAGCAAGGUGUUCUUUUGCUUUGCUAUUGGUCAAUAGUAAGUAGAUAGACCAUGGAUGCAUCUUCUCAAUGCAGUUCUCAAAAAGAAAUAACUUCAUGUGUUUCGGAAGUCAUGGUUACUCCCCUUGGCGAUGUCAGCCUUUUCUUAUUGCAAACCUUGCUGGUUCAGUCAUAUGGCCAUCACCAUUGGAAUCGGUGAAUAUUUUAGUUGCAGUAAAUGAUCUUGCCUUAUCCACCUGCAUUUGGAGCUCUUUUAUUAUUUUAUGUUCGCUUAUCCAAAAUUUGAACAAGUGAUAUUUCAGUUGCAGUAAAUGAUCCUUUGAUUGUUUGUUUAGGUGUAUAAGAGUGUUGAUGAUGUGGCUUAGAGGAGGCCUCGACUUGCACCAAAUAUAUGCUCAUAUGCAACUACAGCCUAUGCAGGCGAAUCAUGCGCUUGUGCCGAGCUGAUCCAAGGUGGUGCAUCUGCAUCAGAGGACUGUUUUUGUUCGAUUUGUGGAACCUAGCUUGCGAUGUAGAAAAAAAAAAGGAUGGCUACAUCUGCUACAUAUCCUCCUGUGUUUUAACUUGAGCCUCUUGUGGUUUCAGCAUGAAAAGCAGGUGAAUGAGAAGCUGCACAACCCGCACACUGUAAGUUGCUCCUUCAUGCCUAUGCAGAACAAGUUACUGUGAAAGAGAAGUGUAUGCACGUUCUUUGUACAAAGCUCAGUUGUACCUUAAUCUGGGAAGUAGGAUGACCCCGACUAUACCAAGUUUGACCAAAUUUGUUGGUGAAUUAGUUUGUUUUGCCCUGAUUUUUGCGUGGUGGCAGUAUAUCUGAGCCUGGAAUGCAUAUAUCCAGUGCAGAGAAGAUCAGUUUGCUGUAUGAAAUUUUCUAAGCAUUUCAUUUUCUUUAUUCUUAGUUUUUAUAUGAUGUCGUGCAGCAGAAAACUGGUUAUGAAUUUGUUAAAAAGUAUGAAUUUUUCAUCUAAAAUUCUUGGCAGCUACCCUUCAUGAUUAUUUUUCUUCAUGCAGUAAACGCCUAGGUGAAGCAUCAAAAUUCAAUAUAACUAGUUCUGGACAUGGACAAGGGCUUCAUUUGAUCUUUUGUUGCUCUCAAGCCAUAUUUUCCCUGUGUGUCUCUUUGUGCAGGUACUUGAAAAAAAUAAAAAUACACAACUUGAUGAUGUGCUCAGUUUUGACUUUAAGUAGAAUAAAAGGGCUUGCUAACAUAUAUAAGAGUGCAAAGAAGAUUGGUUGUAUUUUUUCACUAUAGUAGCUACUACAGAUUUUUAUGAUGGUUCAUAUUCACCAAAAUCUAGCUGCACUUCAACAGUAGACUAUGUGAUAAUUUGUAAGAGUUUACAGCAACUGGGCAACAUAAAGUUCCAAAAAAAAGUGCACUACGCGGUUACUGAAAUAAAUUUUAUUCUGCAUUAUGGAAGUAAUUUGUAUGGGGAGCAAUUGCAGACGCGUUUGGAUAAGGCAUGAUGCAUCCAAUUGACUCCCAGAAUACAAAGCUUCAGAGUCAAGCUAUAAUGACAGGGGCUAAAAGUGUGAAAUCGUUUCCUAAAAAAUUUUGUUCACUUCACAUUGGCCUGAACUGUAGUAGGAUUUGCUGUUUUAUUGAAUGGUCUUUGACACAUGGAUUCCCUUAUCUUUCUUGACUUGUCCUGAACACAUUCAGAAGAAUGUUUUUCAGAUGGUCAGAACAGUUUGGCCCCUCUCUGCUUUGUAUUUAUAAAAUAUUAGAAACCUGAAACACUUUAGUAUCAGGUUUUGUCAGAAUCAAGGGAAAUUCAUACUGCCUGAGCCUUUGCUGAUGUUAAGAAUGGCCAACUGAUUGAACUUGUUCACAGCAUUAGCAGUAAUCUUGAUAAACUUGGCAUUCCUGACCUUCUAUAUUUGAUGUCCUGUUCUGUUGACCUAUCUGCAGUGGUUUUUACAGAGGAAUUAGUCCAGGUGCUACUGGUUCAUUUGCUACAGGUGCAACAUAUCUUGAAUCAACUAAGACAUGGAUGGAGCACGCUAAUCCUAAUCUAAGAGGUCAUUGGUCUCACUUUAUUGCUGCAGGAAUUGGUGAGAAAAUUGUGUUCUUAUGUCUACUGUAUUUUCUUUCCGAAAAAUCUGCACGGUGCUGUGUAAAAUUUAGAAUGGCUCUCAGCAUCUAUUCGAGCAUGCUAGCUUUCUAUAGUAUUUUCAUGCGCACAUUUCUGGAAGCAUGAAUGCAUGUUCAUGGAGCAAACUGGGUCGAUUUUUGUGUGAAAAAAAGCGAUACUAUCCGCGCAAAGUUGUCUUAUUCCACUCAUUACUAAACAUAUGCAUAAUCCCUUCAUUUAACAGGCAUUGCAAUCAUUUUCCUCUGAUCUUCCUAUUUGCUUGCUCCGCGGGGCAAAACUCGGGACCAAUGGGUUGUCAAGUGAGACAAAUCCAAGAGAGCGAGGAAAAACUGAAAGGAGAAGAAGUG
rnacentral:lncRNA from 1 species